GGAGAAAUGGCAGAGUGGUCGAUUGCGGCAGUCUUGAAAACUGUUGAACCGUGAGGUUCUGGGGUUCGAAUCCUAUUUCUCCGCCA
rnacentral:tRNA from 1 species